rnacentral:tRNA from 1 species
GUCCCCUUCGUCUAGAGGGGACACCGCCCUUUCACGGCGGUAACAGGGUUCGAAUCCCCUAGGGACGCCA